GGUCAAUUGAGGAACUGCAGUUAAAUAUUGGCGUCACCUCUUCAGAUAGGAGGUUACACUUCAGCGAUGUAGUAAAUGGAAAUAAAAAUUAAGGAAGUUUUAGAAGUAAAAAAAGUCAUAAUGUCACAUGGUAGAAACCUGUAAUCUCAGGAAGGGUUAAACGCGUUUGAUUUUCUGUUUUUUUUUUUUUUAAAUGCUGUUUUUUGAAGUUUUAGUGAUAGGGUUACAAUUGUCCCUGAAACAUGGGAUACCCGCAUGAACCGGAGCAAGUAUUGUGUGAUCAAUAAAAUCAGAUAUUAUCUCGGC